rnacentral:rRNA from 1 species
AAACUAGAGAGUGUAUGCAAAAUAUUCUAAGUUUAAUGAAAACACUACAAGAAAAAAAUGUGAUUACUCAUAAUAGAUUUACACUUUACCCAGGAACAUACUCAGAUAACUGUUGUAAUUCUAGAGCUAACACGUUCAAUAAACCCCAACUUCUAGAAGGGAUACAUUUAUUAGAUAAAAGAUCGAUGCAUGUUGUGCUUGUUGCUUUGAUGAUUCAUGAUAACUCGUUGGAUCGCAAGACCCUUGUACUGGUGACACAUCAUUCAAAUUUUUGUCUUAUUAACUUUCGAUGGUAGAAUAGUGGCCUACCAAGGUGGUGACGGGUGACAGAGGAUUUGAGUUCGAUUUCGGAGAUGGAGUCUGAGAAACGACUACCACAUCCAAGGAAGGCAGCAGAUGCGAAAAUUACUCAAUCCUAACACGAGGAGGUAGUGACAAUAAAUAAUAAUAUCAGGCUCAUCGAAUCUGGUAAUUGAAAUGAGUACAAUAUAAAUCCCUUAUUGAGGAUUUGUGGUAAUUCUAGUUCCAAUAACAUAUAUUUAAGUUGUUGCAGUUAAAAAACUCGUAGUUGGACCUCAGGUUGGGCCGCCCAGUCCGCCUCUGGUGUGCACUGUUUGGCUCGUCCCUUCUGUUGGCGAUACGCUCCUGACCUUAAUUGACCAGUUCGUGCCUCUGACGCUGGUACUUUAUAAAAAAAAUUAGACUGCUCAAAGCAAGCUACGCUCCGGAUACAUUAGCAUGGGAUAACACCACAUGAUUAUGAUUCUAUUGUGUUGGCAAUCGGGUUCCAGGGGAGCAUGAUCGCAAGGCUGAAACUUAAAAGAAUUGACGAAAAGACACAAUUUGGAAUGGAGCCUGCGACUUAAUUUGACUCAACAUGGGGAAACUUACCAGGUCCAAAUAUAAUAAGGAUUGACAGACUUAUAGCUCUUUCUUGAUUCUGUGGGUGGUGGUGCAUGGUUGUUCUUAGUUGGUGGAACACAAAAGUUUAAGGCAAGAACAUGCAUGUGAUGCCCUUAGAUGUUCUGAGCCGCACAAGCGCUACACUGAUAUAUUCAACGAGUCUACAACCUUGACCGACAGACCCAGGUAAUCUUUGAAAUUUCAUCGUGAUGGGGAUAGAUGAUUGCAAUUGUUGGUCUUCAACGAGGAAUUCCUAGUAAGUGCAAGUCAUCAGCAUGCAUUGACUAUGUCCAUGCCCUUUAUACAUGUAACACCC